AGCGGGUUAGGGGAGUUCGGCCGUCCCCGCUGUCCUCAUAAGUCAGAGAUCGCAGGUUCAAAUCCUGUACCCGCCACCA
rnacentral:tRNA from 1 species